rnacentral:rRNA from 1 species
AUGAACGCUAGCUACAGGCUUAACACAUGCAAGUCGAGGGGCAGCAUGGUCUUAGCUUGCUAAGGCCGAUGGCGACCGGCGCACGGGUGAGUAACACGUAUCCAACCUGCCGUCUACUCUUGGACAGCCUUCUGAAAGGAAGAUUAAUACAAGAUGGCAUCAUGAGUCCGCAUGUUCACAUGAUUAAAGGUAUUCCGGUAGACGAUGGGGAUGCGUUCCAUUAGAUAGUAGGCGGGGUAACGGCCCACCUAGUCUUCGAUGGAUAGGGGUUCUGAGAGGAAGGUCCCCCACAUUGGAACUGAGACACGGUCCAAACUCCUACGGGAGGCAGCAGUGAGGAAUAUUGGUCAAUGGGCGAGAGCCUGAACCAGCCAAGUAGCGUGAAGGAUGACUGCCCUAUGGGUUGUAAACUUCUUUUAUAAAGGAAUAAAGUCGGGUAUGGAUACCCGUUUGCAUGUACUUUAUGAAUAAGGAUCGGCUAACUCCGUGCCAGCAGCCGCGGUAAUACGGAGGAUCCGAGCGUUAUCCGGAUUUAUUGGGUUUAAAGGGAGCGUAGAUGGAUGUUUAAGUCAGUUGUGAAAGUUUGCGGCUCAACCGUAAAAUUGCAGUUGAUACUGGAUAUCUUGAGUGCAGUUGAGGCAGGCGGAAUUCGUGGUGUAGCGGUGAAAUGCUUAGAUAUCACGAAGAACUCCGAUUGCGAAGGCAGCCUGCUAAGCUGCAACUGACAUUGAGGCUCGAAAGUGUGGGUAUCAAACAGGAUUAGAUACCCUGGUAGUCCACACGGUAAACGAUGAAUACUCGCUGUUUGCGAUAUACUGCAAGCGGCCAAGCGAAAGCGUUAAGUAUUCCACCUGGGGAGUACGCCGGCAACGGUGAAACUCAAAGGAAUUGACGGGGGCCCGCACAAGCAGUGGAGUAUGUGGUUUAAUUCGACGCAACGCGAAGAACCUUACCAAGUCUUGACAUCCCUUGACGAACAUAGAAAUAUGUUUUCUCUUCGGAGCAAGGAGACAGGUGGUGCAUGGUUGUCGUCAGCUCGUGCCGUGAGGUGUCGGCUUAAGUGCCAUAACGAGCGCAACCCUUGUUGUCAGUUACUAACAGGUUCCGCUGAGGACUCUGACAAGACUGCCAUCGUAAGAUGUGAGGAAGGUGGGGAUGACGUCAAAUCAGCACGGCCCUUACGUCCGGGGCUACACACGUGUUACAAUGGGGGGUACAGAGGGCCGCUACCACGCGAGUGGAUGCCAAUCCCAAAAACCUCUCUCAGUUCGGACUGGAGUCUGCAACCCGACUCCACGAAGCUGGAUUCGCUAGUAAUCGCGCAUCAGCCACGGCGCGGUGAAUACGUUCCCGGGCCUUGUACACACCGCCCGUCAAGCCAUGGGAGCCGGGGGUACCUGAAGUGCGUAACCGCGAGGAGCGCCCUAGGGUAAAACUGGUGACUGGGGCU